rnacentral:lncRNA from 1 species
AAGUCCUUCCCACAGAGAGCGGUUUGAUAUGUCACUGAAACCAGCAUCCAGGUGGUAUUGCUCCAUAUGCCUGAGACCCUAACAAAAGCCUAAUUACAACUCAUAUGCCUGGAGCCAGGACAUGUGCAGGAUGACUCUGCCAAGAGAGGGGAUUAUUACAUAUUGCAGAGCCCAGCACCUAGGUGGAGUGACUCUCAUCUUUUUCUUCUACCCCGUAUAUAGCCAGCUUGGUGACCUACUAUUUGAGUCUAUACCCAGGCCCAGACCACAGAUGAAAUUGUGCAAUAUGUGGAACAAACACCUAAACAAUAUAUAACACCUUCCUUGGCUCUGUCUACAAAGGGCACUUUUAUAUAUCACUGGGACCAUCAACCAGGUGAUGUUAAUUAUCUUCCUGAAACCUGUCUACAAAGAGAGUUGUGUCGUAUACCUAGGCCCGUCAUGUGAUAUAACCCUCUUCUCUGGAAUGGGCCCCACACAAAGGAAGGAUAGUGACAUAUUGCAAGCCCAGGCACACAGGCCCAGAGCACAGUUGAAAUUGUGACAUAUGUACACCAAGCAACCAAGCAAUGUAUAACACCUCAUUUGGCAAUGGAAUCGAGGGCACUUUUACAUAUCACUGAGACCAGCGCCCAGCUGAUGUGAAAUAUUGGCCUGAACCCUGCCUACAAAAGCAUUGUGGCUUUUAUCUAGCUCCAUUACAUAAGUGAUGUGACUUCCUUCUACUGCCUUGGCCCUGCACUUAUGGUGAAUCGUGACACAAAAUUGGGUAGAGCAACCAGCCUGGGCCCUGACCAGCACAGAGAUUGAGGCAUAUUGCUGAACCCAGGACCAAGAUGAAGUCACUCUCCUGCCUUGAUCCUGCACACAGGGACCCUUGUGACAUAUAUACAGGCCAAUUGCCUAGGUGAUGUUGUGCAAUAUACCUGAGACCAGAUCAAUGGCCUAAUAAUGACUCUUUUACCUAGAGCCAGGACAUGUGCAGGAUGGUAACUCUCAUCCCUGAACCUUUCCACAGGUGUUAUUGUCACAUAUACCUUUUCCAGCUCCAAAGUGAUUUAAUAAUCCAGCCUAGUUAUAGCCCACAGAUAAUAUUUGGACAUAUACCUGAGUCAAGAA